UACGUAGGGUCCGAGCGUUGUCCGGAAUUAUUGGGCGUAAAGAGCUCGUAGGCGGUUUGUCGCGUCUGCUGUGAAAUCCCGAGGCUCAACCUCGGGCCUGCAGUGGGUACGGGCAGACUAGAGUGUGGUAGGGGAGACUGGAAUUCCUGGUGUAGCGGUGAAAUGCGCAGAUAUCAGGAGGAACACCGAUGGCGAAGGCAGGUCUCUGGGCCACUACUGACGCUGGAGAAGCGGAAAGCAUGGGGAGCGAACAGG
rnacentral:rRNA from 1 species